rnacentral:rRNA from 1 species
UACGUAGGCAGCGAGCGUUGUUCGGAGUUACUGGGCGUAAAGCGUGCGUAGGCGGUGUCUUAAGUUUGUUGUGAAAUCUCCCGGCUUAACCGGGAGGGUGCGGCGAAUACUGAGAUGCUGGAGUGCCGGAGAGGUAAGCGGAAUUCCUGGUGUAGCGGUGAAAUGCGUAGAGAUGUGGAGGAACACCGAUGGCGAAGGCAGCCCCCUGGGCUAACACUGACGCUCAUGCACGAAAGCGUGGGGAGCAAACAGG